rnacentral:sRNA from 1 species
AAUGCAUGAACUGAACUGUAGGUGGGCGGUCUGAUUCAGAUGCUUUUCCAGUGGCGAUGCCCUCUAGUUAGUUAAAGGAACUAACAGCAAUGAUGUAAUUAGCCUGUGCAAGGGGCUGGGCUCAUAUCAGUAGAUUUUUUCCCAUUGUCUUUUUAUUUGUGAUUGUCUUUUUCUAAUAUUUUUACUGUACGAUGGUGAAAUGCGCAAAAUACCCUGUUGU